rnacentral:rRNA from 1 species
AGUGAACGCUGGCGGUAGGCCUAACACGUGCAAGUCGAACGGCAGCACAGGAGAGCUUGCCCUCUAGGUGGCGAGUGGCGGGCGGGUGAGGAAUACAUCGGACUCUGCCCAGUCGCGGGGGAUAACGUAGGGAAACUUACGCUAAUACCGCAUACGACCUUCGGGUGAAAGAGGGGGAUCGCAAGACCUCUCGCGAUUGGAUGAGCCGAUGUCGGAUUAGCUAGUUAGCGGGGUAAUGGCCCACCAAGGCGACGAUCCGUAGCUGGUCUGAGAGGAUGAUCAGCCACACUGGAACUGAGACACGGUCCAGACUCCUACGGGAGGCAGCAGUGGGGAAUAUUGGACAAUGGGCGCAAGCCUGAUCCAGCCAUACCGCGUGGGUGAAGAAGGCCUUCGGGUUGUAAAGCCCUUUUGUUGGGAAAGAAAUCUUUCAGGCUAAUACCCUGGGAGGAUGACGGUACCCAAAGAAUAAGCACCGGCUAACUUCGUG